AACGAACGCUGGCGGCAUGCCUAACACAUGCAAGUCGAACGAGACCUUCGGGUCUGGUGGCGCACGGGUGCGUAACGCGUGGGGACCUGCCCUUAGGUUCGGAAUAACUCCCCGAAAGGGGUGCUAAUAACGGAUAAUGUCUUCGGACCAAAGAUUUAUCGCCUUUGGAUGGGCCCGCGUUGGAUUAGCGAGUUGGUAGGGUAAAAGCCUACCAAGGCGACGAUCCAUAGCUGGUCUGAGAGGAUGAUUAGCCACACUGGGACUGAGACACGGCCCCGACUCCUACGGGAGGCAGCAGUGGGGAAUAUUGGACAAGGGGCGAAAGCCUGAUCCAGCAAGGCCGCGUGAGUGAUGAAGGCCUUAGGGUUGUAAAGCUCUUUUACCCGGGAUGAUAAUGACAGUACCGGGUGAAUAAGCACCGGCUAACUCCGUG
rnacentral:rRNA from 1 species